GACGAACGCUGGCGGCGUGCUUAACACAUGCAAGUCGAACGGAAAGGCCCUGCUUUUGUGGGGUGCUCGAGUGGCGAACGGGUGAGUAACACGUGAGUAACCUGCCCUUGACUUUGGGAUAACUUCAGGAAACUGGGGCUAAUACCGGAUAGGAGCUCCUGCUGCAUAGUGGGGGUUGGAAAGUUUCGGCGGUUGGGGAUGGACUCGCGGCUUAUCAGCUUGUUGGUGGGGUAGUGGCUUACCAAGGCUUUGACGGGUAGCCGGCCUGAGAGGGUGGCCGGCCACAUUGGGACUGAGAUACGGCCCAGACUCCUACGGGAGGCAGCAGUGGGGAAUAUUGCACAAUGGGCGGAAGCCUGAUGCAGCAACGCCGCGUGCGGGAUGACGGCCUUCGGGUUGUAAACCGCUUUCGCCUGUGACGAAGCGUGAGUGACGGUAAUGGGUAAAGAAGCACCGGCUAACUACGUG
rnacentral:rRNA from 1 species